rnacentral:misc_RNA from 1 species
AGCGAUUUGGGGGAAGGGAUCAUUUGAUUGUGGCCACCACCCAAAUAGCAUGUUAGAUGCUAGGAAGAUGCUGGGUUCUGCCAUGUAUGUUCUUGCAGAUUUCGGAAGAUACCCAGUUCAAAUUGCAAAUCUUGGGAAGGAUAUAAUUGCUUCUUACAAGCAUGUUGUGAGGACCAUUCCAAGUGGUGAAUCUGCUCAUUUUGAUGAGAGUCC